rnacentral:lncRNA from 1 species
UUCGCAUAGCUAUUAUAAUUUACAAUCAAAAUGUAAUUAACAUCGUACUCAAACCUAUACAUGCCAUAAGAUUAAGUUCAAAUAUUUAACAAAAUACCAAAGGAAGUCGAUAGUAUGAUGGACUAUGCUGAUGAUCCCCGAGCUCGUAACUCGUCUCCAAAAUCUAUAAAAUCAAAUGGACGAAAACAAACAAAGUAAGCUUUUAUAGCUUAGUAAGUUUACAGCAUAACUAAAUGUAUAUAAAUAUAUAUAAUAUAACCUUUUAAUCUAUUUCACUGAGAUUCCAAUUAACACGAAAACUAAUUUUUAUACAUUAUUGUACUCAGACCAUUUUAUUUAUAUUCAGAUAUGUAUGCCUGUCGAAUGCGAUCAUUUGAAUAUUUAUUUAUACCAAACAACAUUACAACCGAAUGUAUACAACCGAUCAUAUAUAUAUUAUACACAUAUCAUAACCGAACGUGUAUGUAUACUCAUGAUAAACUUUAAACCAAUACAAAUCUAAUACAUAUGAACGAAUGCAUUCAUUUUCAUCAAAUACUUAUAAACAAAGAUAUAUAUAUCUCGAAUGCAUAUGUAGUUACUAAUCAAGUAUGCGUACCAAAUAUUUAUAAGUAUAUAUUUAUCAAAUGCAAAAUCCCAAUGCAUAUAUAUAUAUUUUACAAUUGCAUAAACCGAAUAUAUAUAAUCAUCAAACGCACUUAGCCGAAUGUAUAUAUAAAUAUACUUAUCAAUUAAAUAUAUCCAAAAUCAUAUAAUUGUACACUUAAUCACAUGUUUAAAAACAGAUUCACCGGCAUUUAGCCUGCUAGGCUUAAAGCCUGAUUCAGUACACCGGCACUUAGCCUGCUAGACAUAUAGCCUGAAAUAUUUCACCGGCAUUAAGCCUGUUAGACAUUUAGUCUGAAGUGUUUCACCGGCAAUAAGCCUGCUAAGCGCUAAGCCUGAAAAUCUCACUUUUCCCAUAUACAUAAUAAUUUCCUCAAAUACUUAUUAAUAGCAAACACACAUUCAUUGUAGUGCAUAUUCAAUCACAAAAGAGUUUGCAAUUCAUACAUUCAAUUCAAUUCAAGAAUCUGUACACGAAUAUACAUUUAGAUAUAUUCGAACUCCCAAGUACGUAUUUAACAUUUAUACCUUAAAAUAUAAUCAAGACCUAUUCAUAUAUAUAUAGAUGUUCCAACUCCCAUAUACCUACUUAUUUGAACUUAUCUGUACAAUUACAACAUACAUACCUUUAAUCAAACCCAAAUGUUUUUACCUACAUAUAUAUAUGUUCGAAACUUAUGUGCACAUAUAUAUAUAACUCUCAUACAACCAACCAAAUUCAAGUAUAUAUACAUAUAGAUACAUAUAUAAUUAUUUGAAUAUAUAUAUACCUUUAUACCAUUCAUACUUUAACUUUAUUCAAAUAUUUAUAUAAGCAUAUACCUAUAUAUUCGAACAUUGUAUAUACAUAUUUAUACCAUUUAUAAUUUGAAUUUAUUCAAUUAAAUUACUUUUAAUUAUAGCUCAACAACAAACAUAAUAGAUAUACAUACAUAUAUAUUGAUUUGAUAACAUUAAAUAGCUGAUAGACUUACCUCGGAUAUUAGCAGACACGAUCGACUAUUCGAUUACUUUCGUUUUUCCCCGAUCCAAAUUCGUUUUCUUUGUUUCUUGAUCUAAACAUAAUCAAAUUUAACCUUUUUAUUCAUCAAAACAUUCAAUUAAGUCCAAAAAUACAUAAAUGGAAAAAUUACCAUUUUACCCCUAACAUUUUGCACUUUUUGCAAUUUAGUCCUAAUACAAAAAUACACCAAAUACACAAAAUUUAUCAAAAUCAUACCUUAGCCGAAUCUUCCAAUGGUCCCUAGUAGCCCAUAUAUUUCAUUUAUUUCACAUUUAAGCCCCUAAAUUUUCAAAUUCCACAAUUAAAUCCCUAAUUUGGAUUUUUUUAUAAAAAAUCACUUAAUUAAACAUGAUAAUCAAACAUCAAAGAUUUAUUUUUCAUCAUCAAACAAUAAAUUCCUCACAUUAUCAACAAUGGCAAAUCUCAAAUUCAUCAUCAAAUCCAAAAAUUAAAGCAUGGGCUAGGUAAUAUACAAAGCAACGAUAUCAAAAACGUAAAAAUUAUUGAAAACCAAACAAAAUCCACACCUCAAUUUGAGCUUCAAAGUGCCGAAUCUUUAAAGCUUUCAAAUGGUUCUU